rnacentral:rRNA from 1 species
GACGAACGCUGGCGGCGUGCCUAACACAUGCAAGUCGAACGAAGAGCGAUGGAUGCUUGCUUCUAUCAAUCUUAGUGGCGAACGGGUGAGUUACGCGUAAUCAACCUGCCCUUCAGAGGGGGACAACAGUUGGAAACGACUGCUAAUACCGCAUACGAUCUAAUCUCGGCAUCGAGGAUAGAUGAAAGGUUGCCUCUACAUGUAAGCUAUCACUGAAGGAGGGGAUUGCGUCUGCUUAGCUAGUUGGGGGGGUAACGGCCCACCAAGGCGAUGCUCAGUAGCCGGUCUGAGGGGAUGGACGACCAAAAUGGGACUGAGACACGGCCCAGACUCCUACGGGAGGCAGCAGUGGGGGAUCUUCCGCAAUGGACGAAAGUCUGACGGAGCAACGCCGCGGGAGGGAUGACGGCCUUCGGGUUGUAAAGCUCUGUUAAUCGGGACGAAAGGCCUUCUUGCGAAUAGUGAGAAGGAUUGACGGUACCGGAAUAGAAAGCCACGGCUAACUACGUG